UACGAAGGGGGCUAGCGUUGCUCGGAAUUAUUGGGCGUAAAGAGCGCGCAGGCGGCUUGGCAAGUCGGGUGUGAAAUCCCGGGGCUCAACCCCGGGACUGCAUUCGAUACUGUCAGGCUAGAGGUAGGUAGGGGAGAUCGGAAUUCCUGGUGUAGCGGUGAAAUGCGCAGAUAUCAGGAGGAACACCGGUGGCGAAGGCGGAUCUCUGGGCCUUACCUGACGCUCAGGCGCGAAAGCUAGGGGAGCGAACAGG
rnacentral:rRNA from 1 species